rnacentral:rRNA from 20 species
CAAAUGACUCUCGGCAAUGGAUAUCUCGGCUCUUGCAUCGAUGAAGAACGUAGUGAAAUGCGAUACUUGGUGUGAAUUGCAGAAUCUCGUGAACCAUUGAGUCUUUGAACGCAAGUUGUGCCCGAGGCCUUGUGGCCGAGGGCACGCCUGCUUGGGCGUCAUGGC